CACCGCGGUUAUACGAAUUGGCCCAAGUUGAUAGAUAUCGGCGUAAAGCGUGGUUAAGGAAUAACCAAAGACUAGAGCCGAACGUCCUCAAAGCUGUUAUACGCUUCCGAAAGAACGAAGUCCCCCAACGAAAGUGGCUUUAAUACCCAACCUGACCCCACGAAAGCUGUGGAA
rnacentral:rRNA from 1 species